rnacentral:rRNA from 1 species
UACGUAGGGUGCGAGCGUUAAUCGGAAUUACUGGGCGUAAAGGGCGCGUAGGCGGCCACCGCAAGUCGAUUGUGAAAUCUCCGGGCUUAACCCGGAAAGGUCAACCGAUACUGCGGGGCUAGAGUGCAGAAGGGGCAACUGGAAUUCUCGGUGUAGCGGUGAAAUGCGUAGAUAUCGAGAGGAACACCUGCGGCGAAGGCGGGUUGCUGGGCUGACACUGACGCUGAAGCGCGAAAGCUAGGGGAGCGAACGGG